rnacentral:rRNA from 1 species
UACAGAGGUCUCAAGCGUUGUUCGGAUUCAUUGGGCGUAAAGGGUGCGUAGGUGGCGGGGUUAGUCAGGUGUGAAAUCUCGGGGCUCAACCCCGAAACUGCACUUGAUACUGCCUUGCUAGAGUACUGGAGAGGAGAUUGGAAUUUACGGUGUAGCAGUGAAAUGCGUAGAUAUCGUGAAGGAAGACCAGUGGCGAAGGCGAAUCUCUGGACAGUUACUGACACUGAGGCACGAAGGCCAGGGGAGCAAACGGG